GGACUCAUAGCUCAGCUGGAUAGAGUACUCGGCUACGAACCGAGCGGUCGGAGGUUCGAAUCCUCCUGAGUCGA
rnacentral:tRNA from 1 species